UACGUAGGGUGCAAGCGUUAAUCGGAAUUACUGGGCGUAAAGCGUGCGCAGGCGGCUUUGCAAGACAGAUGUGAAAUCCCCGGGCUCAACCUGGGAACUGCAUUUGUGACUGCAUGGCUAGAAUACGGUAGAGGGGGAUGGAAUUCCGCGUGUAGCAGUGAAAUGCGUAGAUAUGCGGAGGAACACCAAUGGCGAAGGCAGCUCGCUGGGACGGUACUGACGCUGAGGCGCGAAAGCGUGGGGAGCAAACAGG
rnacentral:rRNA from 1 species